CUGUCACUCACCAGCUCUGUGUUCUGGGAAAUGACUUCACCUCCCUCAGCUACAGAUCCUUAAUGAGUAAAAUGAGGAGAAUGAGAGCUACUAUUUUACAAGACUUUAAUUAGGGAACCAAUGAGACAAUUUACAUAAAGCACUUGGAAAAAACUCCAAACAUGAGAUAAUUAUUAACUCUUAUUAUUGCUCUGUCCUGACCAUAGCAUAUCUACAGUACUGAAGUCAGAGCUGAGAGGCCCUUUGAGAAGGGCAAUUGACAGUAUCCAGAGCCAAUCAGCGAGGAGGAAGAAGAGCCUGGAGUCCAUGCCUUAUUGUGGGCUCCUGGCGGAAAGGAAUUGUCUCCCUCUUUCUGUUCGUACCCUGAGCACUUUGGCCAGAUUUUUCACAUGCCCCAGUGAUUCAAGUUAUAAGGCUUGGGUGAACUAUACAGCAGCAUAUUUACUGAAAGAACUGAUGGAUGUGAUUGCUAAGCUGCAGUCAGUGAUCAUGGAAAUCUGAUGAACAGGUUAAGUACUGCAGAACUAAAGACAAAUGGAUUGUCCUGUUGGACUGUUAAACAAGGAAAAAUGAUGGAUGCUCCACAUUAGAGAUGAUGGA
rnacentral:lncRNA from 1 species